rnacentral:rRNA from 1 species
AGUUUGACUGGGGCGGUCUCCUCCCAAAGAGUAACGGAGGAGCACGAAGGUGGGCUAAUCACGGUUGGACAUCGUGAGGUUAGUGCAAUGGCAUAAGCCCGCUUAACUGCGAGAAUGACGGUUCGAGCAGGUGCGAAAGCAGGUCAUAGUGAUCCGGUGGUUCUGUAUGGAAGGGCCAUCGCUCAACGGAUAAAAGGUACUCCGGGGAUAACAGGCUGAUACCGCCCAAGAGUUCAUAUCGACGGCGGUGUUUGGCACCUCGAUGUCGGCUCAUCACAUCCUGGGGCUGAAGUCGGUCCCAAGGGUAUGGCUGUUCGCCAUUUAAAGUGGUACGCGAGCUGGGUUUAGAACGUCGUGAGACAGUUCGGUCCCUAUCUGCCGUGGGCGUUGGAAGAUUGAAGGGGGCUGCUCCUAGUACGAGAGGACCGGAGUGGACGAACCUCUGGUGUUCGGGUUGUGUCGCCAGACGCAUUGCCCGGUAGCUAAGUUCGGAAUUGAUAAGCGCUGAAAGCAUCUAAGCGCGAAGCGAGCCCUGAGAUGAGUCUUCCCUGAUACUUUAAGUAUCCUAAAGGGUUGUUCGAGACUAGAACGUUGAUAGGCAGGGUGUGUAAGCGUUGUGAGGCGUUGAGCUAACCUGUACUAAUUGCCCGUGAGGCUUAACCAUAC